UAAGUUACGCCCUGAAUGUACUUUUUCAGAUCCUGAUAUAAUUGAAUCGGUGUUCGUCGAGAUUGAUAUCCCGCAUGGAAAAAACAUAGUCGUGGGCUCAAUUUAUCGACCUCCUAAUCAAAAUAUGUCACUGUUUGUUGACAAGUUAAACGAAAUUCUUGGCAUAAUUUCUAAGGACAAUAAGCACUGUUAUGUAAUGGGCGAUUUUAACUCAGAUUUGCUUCAUUACAAUAACCAUGCACAUACUCAGGAAUUUGUCGACAGCUUAUUUUCAUAUGCAUUUUAUCCACUUAUUUCUAAACCAAC